rnacentral:rRNA from 1 species
GCCUAAUACAUGCAAGUCGAACGCGUGCAGCGAUGCACGAGUGGCAGACGGGUGAGUAACGCGUGGGAACAUACCCUUUGGUUCGGAACAACUCAGGGAAACUCGAGCUAAGACCGGAUACGCCCAGGGUCGCGAGACACUGGGGAAAGAUUCAUUGCCGAAGGAUUGGCCCGCGUUCGAUUAGCUAGUUGGUGAGGUAACGGCUCACCAAGGCGACGAUCGAUAGCUGGUCUGAGAGGAUGAUCAGCCACAUUGGGACUGAGACACGGCCCAAACUCCUACGGGAGGCAGCAGUGGGGAAUAUUGGACAAUGGGCGCAAGCCUGAUCCAGCCAUGCCGCGUGAGUGAUGACGGCCUUAGGGUUGUAAAGCUCUUUCGCACGCGACGAUAAUGACGGUAGCGUGAGAAGAAGCCCCGGCUAACUUCGUGCCAGCAGCCGCGGUAAUACGAAGGGGGCUAGCGUUGUUCGGAAUCACUGGGCGUAAAGCGCACGUAGGCGGAUUGUUGAGUCAGGGGUGAAAUGCCAAGGCUCAACCUUGGAACUGCCUUUGAUACUGGCAAUCUCGAGUCCGGGAGAGGUGAGUGGAACUGCGAGUGUAGAGGUGAAAUUCGUAGAUAUUCGCAAGAACACCAGUGGCGAAGGCGGCUCACUGGCCCGGAACUGACGCUGAGGUGCGAAAGCGUGGGGAGCAAACAGGAUUAGAUACCCUGGUAGUCCACGCCGUAAACGAUGGAUGCUAGCCGUUGGGCAGCUUGCUGUUUAGUGGCGCAGUUAACGCGUUAAGCAUCCCGCCUGGGGAGUACGGUCGCAAGAUUAAAACUCAAAGGAAUUGACGGGGGCCCGCACAAGCGGUGGAGCAUGUGGUUUAAUUCGAAGCAACGCGAAGAACCUUACCAGCUCUUGACAUGUCUCGUAUGGGGCCGGAGACGGUUUCCUUCAGUUCGGCUGGCGAGAACACAGGUGCUGCACGGCUGUCGUCAGCUCGUGUCGUGAGAUGUUGGGUUAAGUCCCGCAACGAGCGCAACCCUCGCCCUUAGUUGCCAUCAUUCAGUUGGGCCCUCUAGGGGGACUGCCGGUGAUAAGCCGAGAGGAAGGUGGGGAUGGCGUCAAGUCCUCAUGGCCCUUACGGGCUGGGCUACACACGUGCUACAAUGGCGGUGACAAUGGGAUGCUGAGGGGCGACCCCGAGCAAAUCUCAAAAAGCCGUCUCAGUUCGGAUUGCACUCUGCAACUCGAGUGCAUGAAGGUGGAAUCGCUAGUAAUCGUAGAUCAGAACGCUACGGUGAAUACGUUCCCGGGCCUUGCACACACGCCCGUCAC